ACUGCUCAGGGGCUGACGACCCCCCCCCCCCCCCCCCUCAUCUUUCUGGAGAAGCGUCCUCAUGGUGCAGGCGGUCAAACCUCCACCUCUUUGAAGACACCAUGCAGCUUGAUGACUGACUGGUUCUUUAUACUCCGGACCUCGUCCCGGUGCAGAGGACAGACCUAAGGCCUGCAGCGCAGCGGUCUAGAGACCCCAUGUGGAACCGGUUCAGUUAAGUUGACCUCUCCUUCAGGCGACUUAAAGGAGACCAGAUGUGCGGCAGCUGGGUGUCACGGUGCAGAGACCCAACGCUGUACUGAACUACACCAGUGUGUCCUACUCCCCAUAAACCCUGAGGAUCCCUGGCUACACCAGCACUUUAAUCCACACCCAGCAUUAACACACAGUGCACACUCUAUAGAGCUUGUAAGUCCGCCCCUUGCGGCGGGACCUCGUGAGAUCGUAAGAUAUGACUGGGUUUCAAUGGAGAGAAAGUAAUUAUUUUCUCCAUUAUGUUGCACCACAUUUUGGGGGAAGAAUGUUUGAAUCAAUCUUUGUCAUUUAUUUCUGUACUCCACAUCUGUACUCCCAGCUGUUGUAUUUUAACACGGUAGCUGGGAACCCUCUUUAUAGGGAGCGGCUACAGGGACGAGGCUGGAAGCAGACCUGAGCCUGGAUCUUAACCUUCUUUCUAAACCUAAUGCUGCAAUUUAACCGCAAAUAAAGUGAGGCCUAAAGUAACUUGACUCUCUUACCUAAACUUGCUUGCCUAAACUCGCUUGUCUAAACUCGCUUGCAUAAAACCUAAACUCGCUUGCAUAAAACCUUUACUUGCUUGCAUAAAACCUGAACUUGCUUGGCUAAACUCGCGUCGCUUGCCUAAUACCUGAACUUGCUUGCCUAAACUCGCUUGCCUAAUACCUGAACUUGCUUGCAUAAAACCUAACUUGCUUUGCUUGACUCGUUGCCUGUACUCGCUUGGCUAAACUCGCUUGCCUAAUACCUGAACUCGCUUGCAUAAAACCUAACUUGCUUUGCUUGACUCGUUGCCUGUACUCGCUUGGCUAAACUCGCUUGCCUAAUACCUGAAGUCGCUUGCAUAAAACCUAAACUUGCUUAGCUUGACUCGCUUGCCUGUACUCGCUUGGCUAAACUCGCUUGCCUAAUACCUGAAGUCGCUUGCCUGAAGUCGCAUGCCUAAUACCUGAAGUCGCUUGCCUAAACUCACUUGCCUAAAACCUAAACUUGCUUGUCCAAACACGUUACAGAAAGUUAACAUCCAUAAUCUUUAACCCAAACCAGACUUGUCCCUGGGUCGCUCCACUUUAAUUUAGAAGUUUCUUCUUUUACCUCAUCUGCGUUUUGAGUUUCAUUCUUUGAGGGCUUGAAGUGCUUUGGAGGAUAUUUGAACCUUUGUUUGCCGCAUUUGUUCGCCAAAUGUUCAGUGUACUUGCAUGUAAUGUCUAUGGUCUGACGAUAAUCUGACCUCUUCAUGAAGCAGAAUGUGUGUGAAUGUUGUCCCGUGAGCGCCAGGCUCUCUGUGGGCCUGUCAACGUCUCUUUAGCAAAAGGUUGGAGAGCGAAAUUCAUUUUUGUGACAUUUUCAUGUGUUCCGGAGUAUUUCAGACCUGUGGUGUUUCACAUGAGACCUUAAUGGGAACUUUUCUUUUUCUGCCUGCAUACGUAAUGCCUACAUUAGUAGGGUGAUCACUGUUGAUCCCAAUAUUGAUCAUUAACCACCUCAUUCUUUUAUGAUUUUAUUCGAUAAGGAUUACAAAUCAUGUAAUUUGAGCAUAUUUGCAAAUGGCUCCAAAUAUCAGAUUGUGUAAAAACGAAUUUAAUGUAACCUGCUUGAUUUAAAGAAAAUAAAACAUCCAAAUA